AUACGGAGGGUGCAAGCGUUAAUCGGAAUUACUGGGCGUAAAGCGCGCGUAGGCGGUUUGAUCAGUCGGAUGUGAAAGCCCUGGGCUCAACCUGGGAACUGCAUUCGAUACUGUCAGACUAGAAUAUGGUAGAGGGUGGUGGAAUUCCUGGUGUAGCGGUGAAAUGAGUAGAUAUCAGGAGGAACAUCAGUGGCGAAGGCGGCUACCUGGACCAAUAUUGACGCUGAGGUGCGAAAGCGUGGGGAGCAAACAGGAGUAGAUACCCCAGUAGUCC
rnacentral:rRNA from 1 species